rnacentral:lncRNA from 1 species
CACGAGAAAUUCUUCAGACUCUCUGAAAUGGAGGCCUGUUUAGAAAACAGAAAAAGAAGAGGAACGAAAAGAUGGUCAUGAUGGUGAGGUAGAAGAUACUGAUUUUUCUGAAGAUACUGAUUCUGAUGAAGAUGAAGGGGGACUGUUGGGAAGUAAAAAACUUAAGUCAGGUAAAAGUUCCAGAAAUCUGAAAUAGAAAGAUUUUUUUGAUCUACUUGAAAGUGAUGAAGACAUAGCAAGUGUUCACGAUGACAAGCUGGGUUCAAACAAGAUGAUGAAAUUGCUGAAGAAGCAGCAGAAGAACUAAGGGUUUCUGAAAUGGAUGAAGAUGAUGACCUUGAAAAAAGUGAAGACAGUAAACAAUGUAAAGAAAGCUUGAAAAGAGUAACCCUUGUUUUGCCGGAUGAUGAGGAAACUGAAGAUACAGGUGUUUUGUUUGUUUGUUUGUAUGUUUGUUUGUUUGUUUUGAGAUGCAGUUUCACUCUUGCUGCCCAGGCCAAAGGUGUGAUCUCAGCUCACCACAACCUCCGAAUCCUGGCUUCAAGUGAUUCUCCUGCCUCAGCCUCCUGAGUAGCUGGAAUUACAAGCACACAUCACCACGCCUGGCUAAUUUUGUAAUUUUAGUACAGACGGUUUUCUACAUGCUGGUCAAGGUGGUCUGGAGCUUUGAACCUCAGGUGAUCCACCCACCUUGGCCUCCCAAAGUACUGGAACCACAGUAAGCCACCAUGCCUGGCUAAUACAGGUGUUUUAUAUGUGAAGAAAAAUUCUGAAGUUAAAUCCUCUUUGAUAAAAGACAGAUAAUGGUAGUUAGGAAUUGAAGGCAUUUUUAAUAUGUUUGACAUGAUUGUGGAACUCACAGACUAAUCUUCCCUAUUUUCUUUUUUUUUUUUUUUUUUU